rnacentral:lncRNA from 1 species
UUUUUUAAAUAAAUUAAAUAGUGAUACUAUAGUAACAGUAAUUAUAGACACUAAUGUGAUAUCAAUAAUUACUAAUACUAUGGUGUUAUGAUUUUAGUGAUACUAUAGUAAUAGUAAUCACUGACACCACUUACAAGUGUCACAAUUUUUCUGACUCCCAGAUUACUGACACAAUUAAUAAGUGUCACUAAAAGUAAUUACUGACACCAUUCUAAUGUCAGUAAAGACCAUUUUUCUAGUAGUGAAUAACCUAUUCAAAUUAAUGAGUAAUAUUACUAUUCAAAAUUAAUAUUUCAAAAGUAUAACAUCCCCACGAUUCUUCUAAGCCAAUCAGAAACAUCAUUGGCUAAGAUUGUUUGAUGUAAGCCAAAAUUGAAGUUUAAUUAUUUUAUUUAGUAUUUUAAUUUUUUCAAGCAGAAUUUAUAAUUGGACUUGUAUUUGGGGUGCAUGGAUUCUGUUUUCCGGUUUACUAUUAGAAAGAUUAUGUCACGGGCUUAAUAAUUUAUCAUUAAAAUCCUUAUUUUAUGCGAGGGUUUUAUCUAUCUUGAUCACAUUUCCACUAUGUUAUUACAAAAAUCUUCAAUUAACAUGCAGUAUAAUAUCCAAGUCAACUCAAUCAAGUGAAGCUAAUUAAAACUGAGGAUCAAAUAGCACAAUCAACCUUACAUAACAAGCAAGAAUAAUGGAAGCCAUGAAUUAAUCACUAGCCGUUAGACCUCUAUUCGUUUCUUUUAAUUUAACUAGGUGGAAGCCAAGAAUCUUGGGCAAAACACUAUGCCCCAUAUUGUCUAUGCAUCCAACGAUUCGUCAAUGAAACUUUUUUUUUAUGGUAUCACAGCCAAUCUUGAGAGUCACAGACAUGCAUGGUUAUUAUGUUUCAAUGAAAAAGAGUUUGCCACUAGUGAACCUCUUAAGAAAGUUGGCUUGCUUGAAUGUAGAUCAGUAUACAAAAGAAAUUCGAAGCUAUUUUUGAUUGUUUGGCUGCCGUCAAGAAACCAGUGGAAGAUGUCGAUAAACAGUGGCAAUUGGCACGUGGACUUGGACCAGACUUGAGACCUGAAGGUAGCGAUGCUGGGAAAACCUCCAUACGGUCAAUUUGGUCCUUUUAAGGUUCAAAAAGUUGAAUUAAUUUUCUUGUAAUGCAAGCUAGUAUCUAAGAUGGUCAAUGGAUCUAGAGAUGGUGGAAAUAAAAAAACACUUAAAGAAAGAUGUAAUUGAUUGAUUAUGUUAACUGCUAGCUCAUUUGUAAAUUUGAAAGAUAACGAAGACUCUAUUGUAAUUCACCCCAUUAAGUGCAGUGUGAUUAUACAAAGAGUAGUAUUAGGCAUCUUGAAAUUUUACCUCAAAUGAUAUGAUAUUCAUAACGAUGGCAUAGUUUAAUUAACUCACGUAAUAUUUGUGAAUAACAUGUUACAUACCAUGCAUAUCACAUAAUAUUUCAGUGUGAAUAUUAUUUUCUCUUUAAUGAUAAAUUGUAUUGUGGGCAUUUAAAUAUACAAUAUUGUAAAAUUUAACUAAAGAGUUGGUGUAACCAAAUAUUUUGAUAAGGAUAUCUAAUGAAAUUUCAAAUAAAUUUCAUUUUGAUCUUAAAUUCCAAGCGACCUGCAGAAUAUAUACACUACGAUUUAUUCAGAGCAAUCCGAAAACGAAAUAGUAUGAGCUUCAGUUUGAUUAAAUAUUUUUCCCAAUACAUUCAGAUUUCAGAAAGUUUCAAAAGAAAGCUGAAAAAAUAUAUCAAUAAUUGAAAUGAAAAAAGUUAGAAGGAGGUAUCUAAAAGUCAAUUUCAACGCCAAUGAUGUGUAAUUCCACAUGAGUAAACUAAUUAAUUGCCAUGAGAAAACGAAACGAAAAGAAAAGAAAGGUGCGUAAAAUUUAAUUUGACAAUAACAGCUACGUUCUCCAACCGCCCCCCCCCCCCCCCCCCCCCCCCAACACCAAAAAAAGGCAUAAAUUUCGUUUGACAAUGAUGUCCUGAUAUCCAUGACGUCAACUUGGGAAAGGAAAAAAAAAAAAUUUCAUCAUAAAGAAAUUUCAUUUGACAUAUUAUCAUUUAUCUUGCUUCGCUUGGUAUCAUUUGUGCAUUUUAUUGUCUUUGAAGCAUAUAUAUUUUUUAGUUUGGUACUAUGUUGGUGUUAUUUUAAUUUAUAUAUUAAGAAACGUGAUUGUUAUAUGGAAGAAAUAUUUUGCUGAAAUAAUGGGAUUCAUUCUAAACCUAGACAUUGACUAACUAGCCGUACACUACAAGAAAAUGAGACAUUUCCAAGAAAUAAAAGAAAAUGAGACAUUU